AGAGAGUGAGAAGUGAUGACGGUGAUCGUUGUCGCCGCGUCUUCUGUGGAACCCAAGCAGUGCCGAAGGAAGUCGCAAGGCUCUUCCCCGACCUUUUGCUCCUCUCCCUGCGCGAGAGAUCUAGGCUUACAUUGCUGUUAAGCCUCCAACAGCGGCAGCCAGAUGGUGCAGUGUUUUUGAAACAGGCUCUGAUAAAUCCACAAAGAGCAGCCCCCUGUCUGGGACUCUUUGGAAUAAGUCAGUUGCCCCAGGACUUCUUUAAAGUGUCAGUGUAACACCCAGACUACCACAACUACUCCUGCUGCUUAGUUUGGUCUCUGUGAGGAUCCUAUAAUUGUCCAAACCAGAUAUUUUGCCAAGCCAGUCUGUCCUGCUGGGCCACUUGAGGUUGCAUCAAGUAACCAAUGAGAACUAACCAGGACAACUACCAACAGAAAUGCCCUUUUGCCAACUGACAAAUGGUGCUAUUUAGUGUAGUCGUUUUGUCAAACUUCUCAGGUAAAGAAGUGUGGACAAAGGGUAUACUGUGGAACGUACUGUGACACACUGUGAUACACUACAGCUUCGUUUAUUUUUAUUUUUUAUUUUCUUUGGGGUGGAGGUUGCAAGGGUGGAGAUCAGGAGACAGGGCAAUGAAUGGAAUUGGGGUAUCUGAUGUAAAAUUCACAAAGAGUCAAUAAAAAGUUAAAAAAAA
rnacentral:lncRNA from 1 species